CCUACGGGUGGCAGCAGUGAGGAAUAUUGGUCAAUGGACGCAAGUCUGAACCAGCCAUGCCGCGUGCAGGAAGACGGCUCUAUGAGUUGUAAACUGCUGUUGUACGAGGGUAAACGCAGAUACGCGUAUCUGUCUGAAAGUAUCGUACGAAUAAGGAUCGGCUAACUCCGUGCCAGCAGCCGCGGUAAUACGGAGGAUUCAAGCGUUAUCCGGAUUUAUUGGGUUUAAAGGGUGCGUAGGCGGUCGGAUGAGUUAGCGGUGAAAUCCCGAGUCUCAACUUCGGAAUUGCCUCUGAUACUGUUCGGCUAGAGCGUAGUUGCGGUAGGCGGAAUGUAUGGUGUAGCUGUGAAAUGCUUAGAGAUCAUACAGAACACCGAUUGCGAAGGCAGCUUACCAAGCUACUUCUGACGUUGAGGCACGAAAGCGUGGGGAGCAAACAGGAUUAGAUACCCCAGUAGUC
rnacentral:rRNA from 1 species